UUAUUGGAGAGUUUGAUCCUGGCUCAGGACGAACGCUGGCGGCGUGCCUAAUACAUGCAAGUCGAGCGGACAGAUGGGAGCUUGCUCCCUGAUGUUAGCGGCGGACGGGUGAGUAACACGUGGGUAACCUGCCUGUAAGACUGGGAUAACUCCGGGAAACCGGGGCUAAUACCGGAUGGUUGUUUGAACCGCAUGGUUCAGACAUAAAAGGUGGCUUCGGCUACCACUUACAGAUGGACCCGCGGCGCAUUAGCUAGUUGGUGAGGUAACGGCUCACCAAGGCGACGAUGCGUAGCCGACCUGCUGGCUCUUAUACACAUCUGACGCUGCCGAG
rnacentral:rRNA from 1 species